rnacentral:pre_miRNA from 1 species
AGGGAGUUUGCUCGCCAUGCUUAUGGCUCUGAACCUAUAAACUGGCCUGCAAAAUCCCUUC